rnacentral:rRNA from 1 species
UACGGAAGGCAGCAGUGGGGAAUAUUGCACAAUGGGCGCAAGCCUGAUGCAGCCAUGCCGCGUGUAUGAAGAAGGCCUUCGGGUUGUAAAGUACUUUCAGUCGUGAGGAAGGUGUUAAGGUUAAUAACCUUAGCAAUUGACGUUAGCGACAGAAGAAGCACCGGCUAACUCCGUGCCAGCAGCCGCGGUAAUACGGAGGGUGCGAGCGUUAAUCGGAAUUACUGGGCGUAAAGGGCACGCAGGCGGUUAAUUAAGUUGGAUGUGAAAUCCCCGGGCUUAACCUGGGAAUGGCAUUCAAGACUGGUUAGCUAGAGUCUUGUAGAGGGGGUAGAAUUCCAUGUGUAGCGGUGAAAUGCGUAGAGAUGUGGAGGAAUACCGGUGGCGGAGGCGGCCCCUGGACAAAGACUGACGCUCAUGUGCGAAAGCGUGGGGAGCAAAC